rnacentral:rRNA from 1 species
UGGGGAAUAUUGGACAAUGGGCGCAAGCCUGAUCCAGCAAUGCCGCGUGUGUGAAGAAGGCCUUCGGGUUGUAAAGCACUUUUAUCAGGAGCGAAACGCUGUCGGCUAAUACCCGGCGGAACUGACGGUACCUGAGGAAUAAGCACCGGCUAACUUCGUGCCAGCAGCCGCGGUAAUACGAAGGGUGCAAGCGUUAAUCGGAAUUACUGGGCGUAAAGCGUGCGUAGGCGGUUUCUUAAGUCUGCUGUGAAAUCCCCGGGCUCAACCUGGGAAUGGCAGUGGAUACUGGGAGGCUAGAGUGUGUCAGAGGGUGGUGGAAUUCCCGGUGUAGCGGUGAAAUGCGUAGAGAUCGGGAGGAACAUCAGUGGCGAAGGCGGCCACCUGGGACAACACUGACGCUGAGGCACGAAAGCGUGGGGAGCAAACAGGAUUAGAUACCCUGGUAGUCCACGCCCUAAAGCGAUGCGAACUGGAUGUUGGUCUCAACUCGGAGAUCAGUGUCGAAGCUAACGCG